rnacentral:rRNA from 1 species
UGCCAGUAGUCAUACGCUCGUCUCAAAGAUUAAGCCAUGCAUGUGUAAGUAUAAAUAGUUAACUUUGAAACUGCGAAUGGCUCAUUAUAUCAGUUAUAGUUUAUUUGAUGAAGAAUACUAAUUGGAUAACCGUAGUAAUUCUAGAGCUAAUACAUGUAUAAAGUCUUGUAGACUGCAUUUAUUAGAAUGAAAACCAUAGGUUUCGGCCUAUUCGUGAGUAAUAAUAACUAAUCAUAUCGUAUGCUUAUGUAACGAUGUGUCUUUCAAGUUUCUGCCCUAUCAGCUUUCGAUGGUAGUGUAUUGGACUACCAUGGCAGUAACGGGUAACGAAGAAUUUGGAUUCGAUCUGGGAGAGGGAGCCUGAGAGAUGGCUACCACCUCCAAGGAAGGCAGCAGGCGCGUAAAUUACCCAAUCCUGACACAGGGAGGUAGUGACAAUAAAUCACAAUGCGGAACAAUGUUUUGCAAUAGGAUUGAGACACAACGUACAAACCUUAUCGAUAAACAAUUGGAGGGCGAGAGUGGUGGUGC